UGCUAGCAAGUUAAACAUUCCUGUAAACACAAUCAGUAGUGUUUAACAUCUCUAUCAUUUGAUGUUGAGUAACUGCAAUGUUUGGGAUUUGAUUUCUCAACAAGUGUUUAAACAAUAAUGUCAAUUUUUUUUUUGUGAUGCCAGGAGAAACCUUGUACCCAAGUUACUUUCCGUUGGAUGUUUGUGGAAGUUAUGUAAUCCAAGCAAAAUUUAAAUUUGUGUCAACUUGGGAUUUUUGUUUACCAUCAAACAACUUAACAAGAAGCUGCGUUGCGAAAUGGUGGUGGUGUUCGUGGUUGAGUCCGUAAAGAUUCUGCUCCUGCAAACGCUUGAUGGUAAACUGAACACCAGUUUGACACAAAUAUGAGAUAUCAAUGGAGAGGUACCGCUGCACUGCACUCCGGGGUAUGCCGUAAACCGGUGGAGGUUCAUAUCAGUGUCAAAUUGGGAUUCUUCUUUACCAUCAGCACCGGGUACUACAAUUAAAUUGCAUCGCACUUUAAACAGUGGAUGUUCAUUGAGAAGCUUGCAAAACUUAUGGCACCACAAGCACUUGAUGGUAAAGCAAAACCCCAACUUGGCACAAAUAUGAGAUGACGAAUCGCUCGUAAUUGCUGUCAUAAAUCAGCUGGACAGACAGGAAGAUUCCCGCAUUAAGCACAAGCUCUGACAUCCUUGGAUAAUGCUCAGAUUUCAAAGCUGUGGAGGUUUAUGGUGGAUCUACCUUGGCACUUCAUAUCUGUGUCAAUUUGGGGUUCUACUCUAUAAUUAAACAACCAAGUCACAAAUUGUACAUGUGAUACCUGAAACGGUAGAUGUUCAUGGUGGAGCUUACAAAACUCAUUCUACUGCAAGCACUUGAUGGUGAAACAAAGCACCAAUUUGACAUGAAUAUGAGAUGACAAUGGACCUGCAUUGCACUUUGGCGUAUACAAACACGGUGGAUGCUCGUAUCUGUGUCAACUUGGGGUUUUUAUUUACCGUCAACUAAGGUGAUCAAGGUUAUAACAGAAAUUGUCUUGCCAUUGUUGUGUAUCAAAAACGAUUAUGGCACCAGAAGCACUUGAUGGUAAAGCAAAACCCCAAAUUGGCACGGAUAUGAUAAAACAACGGUGGAUGCUCAUAACCUUUGCUAUGAUUUCUGAUAAAAAUAUUUCAGCUGGACUGACAGGUGUGUAUCUAUGCUCUGCUGCUAGACAUGAGGACCCAAGUCGGCUAGUCCCUUCCCUAUCUCUUGUCUAACCCAUCUCAGGUAGCUGAUAAAACAUGCGAUUUAGUAGUGGCUGCUGAGAGACUAUUUGCAUUCUAAAUGGAGCUAAGUCAACGUGGUGGCAAUGAUGCGCGCAUCAACUCAUAUAUUCAAGGGGUUUUGGAUUCUCCAUAUGAGCAAGGGAUCCGAAGAAACGAAACGAAGAGAUUGCCAUCAAGUUAUCUUAGCAGCCUCCACUUAAAAAUGCAAAAUGUCUCAACAAUAUGUGGAUUUGAAGUGAUCGUUGAGAGACUAUUUGCAUUUUAAGUGGAACUAAGUGAACUUGGUGGCAAUGGUGCAUGUACUCAUUCAUUCAACUCUGGACAUGAAUUGUCCAUACGAGCGAAGGGAUCGGAGGAAACGAAGUGAAGAGAUCGCCAUCAAGUUAUCUUGGCUCCACUUUGAAAUGCAAACUGUCUCAACAAUCAUUUUCUAAAUGGCACAUAUGUUUACAACAAACUUUGCUGAAGUUUACAAUGUAUAUGAAAGAAUCUCAAUUGUACUUUGCUAAAUUUCACUUUAU